rnacentral:tRNA from 1 species
UCCCCGGUGGCUCAGAUGGUAAAGCAUCUGCCUACAAUGCAGGAGACCCAGGUUCGAUCCCUAGGUUGGGAA